UGGAAUUUGCAAAAUGAGGAUGAAAAAAAGAAAUAUGGUGAAACUGCUAAAGCCCUUAGCUCAGUUGAUAUAAAAGUGUUGGAUGAUGAGCAAAAGAGAAAGCUUAUUGAAAGACACUGCAAAAAGCUAGUCGAGGAGAUCAGGAUACUGGAGGAUUUGGGCUGCCAGACUUCAUCUUUGAUGAUCAACAAUGAAGGCACUGUUUUCCAACUGGGAUCCAAUGAAGGAAAUCAUUUUUUAUCUUGCAACCCCGAUAUUGGCAUAAAAUUUCGUGAGUAUUUUGGUAGUUCUGUUAAGAAGUACCGCAGAAAUGAUGUGCAAGAUCUCUUUAACAAGAAAUACAGUGAAGCGGUUGGAAAGAGCUGCCGGGUGCCGUACUCGAAAUGUGGAUUCAGAGUUGUUGGUCUCCCUGAAGAUAUUUCUUUUAAGAAACCAUAUAACUAUGGUUCCUUGCAACUAAAGAAAAUCA